rnacentral:rRNA from 1 species
GGUGAACCUGCGGAAGGAUCAUUAUUGAAUUAAUGUAGAGUUUGGUUGUAGCUGGCUCCUAAUUAAACUUGGGGGCAUGUGCACACCUUUCUCUUUCAUCCCAUACACACCUGUGCACCUGUGAGACAGAUGUUUUGUGGGGGGGAAGGAACUUUAUUGGACCUUCUACUCCCCCUUGACUUCUGUCUACUUAAUUCAUAUAAACUCAAUUUAUUUUAAAACGGAUGUAAUGGAUGUAACACAUCUAAUACUAAGUUUCAACAACGGAUCUCUUGGCUCUCGCAUCGAUGAAGAACGCAGCGAAAUGCGAUAAGUAAUGUGAAUUGCAGAAUUCAGUGAAUCAUCGAAUCUUUGAACGCACCUUGCGCUCCUUGGUAUUCCUUGGAGCAUGCCUGUUUGAGUAUCAUGAAAUCUUCAAAGUCAAACCUUUUGUUAAUUCAAUUGGUUCUGCUUUGGUAUUGGAGGAUUAUUGCAGCUUCACACCUGCUCCUCUUUGUGCAUUAGCUGGAUCUCAGUGUUAUGCUUGGUUCCACUCAGCGUGAUAAGUUAUCUAUCGCUGAGGACACCCUGUUAAAAAGGGGUGGCCAAGGUAAAUGCAGAUGAACCGCUUCUAAUAGUCCAUUGACUUGGACAAUAUCUAAUUUAUGAUCUGAUCUCAAAUCAGGUAGGACUACCCGC